GACGGGGGGGGCAAGUGUUCUUCGGAAUGACUGGGCGUAAAGGGCACGUAGGCGGUGAAUCGGGUUGAAAGUGAAAGUCGCCAAAAAGUGGCGGAAUGCUCUCGAAACCAAUUCACUUGAGUGAGACAGAGGAGAGUGGAAUUUCGUGUGUAGGGGUGAAAUUCGUAGAUAUGGGGAGGAACACCGGUGGCGAAGGCGGCCAUCUGGACGGAUACUGACGCUGAGACGCGAAAGCGUGGGGAGCAAACAGG
rnacentral:rRNA from 1 species